GACGAACGCUGGCGGCGUGCUUAACACAUGCAAGUCGAGCGGUAAGGCCCUUUCGGGGGUACACGAGCGGCGAACGGGUGAGUAACACGUGGGUGACCUGCCCUCAGCUCUGGGAUAAGCCUGGGAAACCGGGUCUAAUACCGGAUAUGACUCCAUGACGCAUGUUGUGGGGUGGAAAGCCUUGUGCGGCUGAGGAUGGGCCCGCGGCCUAUCAGCUUGUUGGUGGGGGAUGGCCUACCAAGGCGACGACGGGUAGCCGGCCUGAGAGGGCGGACCGGCCACAC
rnacentral:rRNA from 1 species